rnacentral:lncRNA from 1 species
ACCGACCGUCCCUAAAGCAAGUGGCAAAGGGUUUGGUAGUUGGUACCUGAGACCCAAGUUCGAAUCCUAGUUGAUUCACAUUUCCAGCUAAGUUUAUUUUUAAAUAAAAUAAACGAAGCAGGUAGCGUGCUAUCUAUCUCUCAAAAAAAUAUAUAUAUAUGUACACUUUCACUGUUUAUACUAAAUUGUAAAAAGAAAAAGGUAAUAUACUACCUGCUUCAUUCAUUGAAAGAAUAAACUAGACUACAGAGGUGAGGCAUCCAGGGCCUCGAGAGAAACGCGUCAGACGACGGUAAAAAAAAAAAA